ACCACACCUAGCAUCAGCCUAAUUAACUGAUGCGAAAACCGGGCAACCCUGGCCUGGCUGGUGUGGUUUCCUUAAUUAGGG
rnacentral:sRNA from 1 species